UCCGUAGGUGAACCUGCGGAAGGAUCAUUAACGAAUAACUAUGGUGUCUUAGGUUGUCGCUGGCUCCUCGGAGCAAUGUGCACGCCCGCCAUUUUUAUCUUUCCACCUGUGCACCGACUGUAGGUCUGGAUACCUCUCGCCGCAAGGCGGAUGCGAGGGUUGCUCGUAAGGGCUCCCCUCGAACUUCCAGGCUCUACGUCUUUUUACACACCCCAAUAGUAUGAUGCAGAAUGUAGUCAAUGGGCUUCACAGCCUAUAAAACACUAUACAACUUUCAGCAACGGAUCUCUUGGCUCUCGCAUCGAUGAAGAACGCAGCGAAAUGCGAUAAGUAAUGUGAAUUGCAGAAUUCAGUGAAUCAUCGAAUCUUUGAACGCACCUUGCGCUCCUUGGUAUUCCGAGGAGCAUGCCUGUUUGAGUGUCAUUAAAUUCUCAACCUCACCCGUUUUCUGAACGGGUCGAGGCUUGGAUGUGGGGGUUUGUGCAGGCUGCCUCACUGGCGGUCUGCUCCCCUGAAAUGCAUUAGCGAGGUUCAUGCUGAACUUCCGUCUAUUGGUGUGAUAAUUAUCUACGCCGUGGACGAGGAUCAGACUCGCUUCUAACCGUCCGCGAGGACAAUACCUUGACAAUUUGACCUCAAAUCAGGUAGGACUACCCGCUGAACUUAAGCAUAUCAAUAAGCGGAGGA
rnacentral:rRNA from 1 species